rnacentral:rRNA from 1 species
UUGAUCCUGGCUCAGAACGAACGCUGGCGGCGUGUCUUAAGCAUGCAAGUCGAGCGGCAAGGGUAGCAAUACCCCUAGAGCGGCGGACUGGUGAGUAACGCGUGGGUGAUCUGCCUUUGGGAUGGGGAUAGCCAUUAGAAAUAGUGGGUAAUACCGAAUACGCUUGCAGGAUCGCGGUCCUGUAAGGAAAGGCGCUACGGCGCCACCCGAAGAUGAGCCUGCGUCAGAUUAGCUAGUUGGUGAGGUAACGGCCCACCAAGGCGAUGAUCUGUAGGCGGCCUGAGAGGGUGUACGCCCACAUUGGGACUGAGAUACGGCCCAAACUCCUACGGGAGGCAGCAGCUAAGAAUAUUCCGCAAUGGACGAAAGUCUGACGGAGCGACGCCGCGUGGAUGAGGAAGGCCGAAAGGUUGUAAAAUCCUUUUGUCGGUGAAGAAUAAGCCUGGGAGGGAAUGCCCGGGUGAUGACGUUAACCGGCGAAUAAGCCCCGGCUAACUACGUGCCAGCAGCCGCGGUAACACGUAGGGGGCGAGCGUUGUUCGGAUUUACUGGGCGUAAAGGGCACGUAGGCGGUUCUGUAAGCCUGACGUGAAAGGCUAUGGCUCAACCAUGGCACUGCGUUGGGAACUGCGGGACUUGAAUCAUGGAGAGGGAGCUGGAAUUCCAGGUGUAGGGGUGAAAUCUGUAGAUAUCUGGAAGAACACCAAUGGCGAAGGCAAGCUCCUGGCCACUGAUUGACGCUGAGGUGCGAAAGUGUGGGGAUCAAACAGGAUUAGAGACCCUGGUAGUCCACACUGUCAACGAUGUGCACUAGGUGCUGGGGCGGACGCUUCAGUGCCGGAGCUAACGCGAUAAGUGCACCGCCUGGGGAGUAUGCUCGCAAGGGUGAAACUCAAAGGAAUUGGCGGGGACCCGCACAAGCGGUGGAGCAUGCUCUUUAAUUGGCUGAUAACCCAAGAACCUUACCAAGGCUUGACAUGCAUGAAGUAGUGAACCGAAAGGGGAACGACCGGUAUCCAGUCCGGAGCUUGCACAGGUGUUGCAUGGCUGUCGUCAGCUCGUACCGUGAGGCGUACCCUUAAGUGGGUUAACGAGCGCAACCCCUACUGCUAGUUGUAUCACUCUAGCGGAACUGCCGCGGCAACGCGGAGGAAGGUGGGGAUGACGUCAAGUCGGUAUUGCCCUUACGCCUUGGGCUAGAAGCAUGCUACAAUGGCCGGCAUAAAGGGUCGCAAAGCCGCGAGGCUGAGCUAAUCCCAAAAAACCGGUCCCAGUUCGGAUUGGAGUCUGCAAUUCGACUCCAUGAAGCCGGAAUCGCUAGUAAUCGUGGGUCAGCUAUACCACGGUGAAUACGUUCUCGGGUCUUGCACACACUGCCCGUCACGCCAGCAAAGCUGGGGCCACCCGAAGUCUCACAUUAGUGGGCUCACGGUGGAAUCAGUGAUGAGGGUGAAG